rnacentral:rRNA from 1 species
AUGGCUGCGGUUUGGAGCGGCUGCAGCACAAGCUGCGGUUCCUUCAGCCAGGAGCUGCCUCGCCGUAGCGUGAAGGGCGGCCAGGGCACGAGAGUCCGUCCAGCGACCGGCGGCCGGAGCAGAGGUGACGCCCGUCCGGUAAGCGGCGGCACGGUGACGGCGAGAGGGGCGUGUGUUUGCAGAGCGGCCCCGUGCGUCCUCGAAUCUGAUGUCACCGGCAAGGAAGAGGCCGGCCUGGGGAUCCGGGGCGUGGAGGACGAGCGACCUGGUGCUGCUGGUUUCGAUUACCACCAGAGGCACGGGCUCCGGCGGCGUCCGGCGAGGCCGGCUGCCGUGGAGAAGGACCCUGUGGGCGCGAGAAGCGUGCCAUCAGCGUCAGCUUCAGAGCCGGCGGAUAAAUUCGAGCAUGAGGGAUCAAGGCUGCACUUCCUAGAAGAGAGGAACGAGGAACUGCUGUCCAGAAGGCUGAUGAAGCUGAGCCAAUCCAACAAGGUCAGGAGUGCCAUAGAGCUGUUUGAUUCAAUGCUUGCGUCAGGCCUUCAGCCCAACGCGCACGCCUGUAACUCCCUUUUGGCCAGUUUUGUCCGCAGAGGUUCCUCCGUGGACGCGAUGAAGAUGUAUGAGUUCAUGAAGGGGAAAGGGUUGGCAACUGGCCAUACAUACACCUUGAUACUCAAGGCUGUUGCCAGGACCGAGGGCUAUAUCUCUGCCUUGCAAAUGUUCAGUGAGAUUGAAGAGUGCAAUGAAUCGAGGGAAACCCUUGAUGUGAUUGUUUACAACACUAUGAUAUCUGCAUGCGGAAGAGCGAAAGACUGGAGGCAAGUGGAGAAACUGUGGGGAAGGCUAGCGGAGAACUCUUUGAGUGGAACCUUGAUGACUUACGAUCUGUUGGUUAGCACAUUUGUGCAAUGUGGACAGUCUGAGUUAGCAAUUGCUGCUUAUGAGGAAAUGCUCCGCGGGGGGCUUGAUCCAAGUGAAGACAUAAUGAAGGCCAUCAUUGCCUCGUGCACCAAAGAAGGGAGGUGGGAGUUUGCGCUGGCCACAUUUAGGAGAAUGUUGAGUGCUGGCAUGAAGCCCAAUAUCAUUGUGUUUAAUUCGGUUAUCAACUCACUUGGGAAGGCUGGUGAAGACGAGCUCGCCUUUAGGAUGUACCAUCUUCUAACAUCUUCAGGACUUGAGCCUGAUCAAUAUACAUGGAGCGCAUUGCUGUCAGCACUGUAUAGGUCUGGUCGAUGCUGGGACGCCCUAGAGCUUUUCCAAGGAAUUAAAUCCAAGAAUCCGUCUGUCUUAAACAGUCAUCUCUACAACAUAGCUUUGAUGUCUUGUGAAAGACUUGGUCAGUGGGAGCAUGCUUUGCAAUUGCUGUGGAUGAUGGAAAAAAGCGGACUGCAAAUUUCAGCGGUCUCUUACAAUCACGUGAUACGUGCUUGUGAGGUUGCUUGUGAGCCAAAAGUCGCUCUGAAAGUGUACCGGCGUAUGACUCAUGAGAGGUGCUCACCGGACACAUUCACGCAUUUAUCUGUUAUAAGAGCUUGCAUUUGGGGAUCUCUUUGGGACGAAGUAGAGGAUAUACUGGAGGAGGUCGCUCCAGAUUCUUCGAUCUACAACACGGUCAUACACGGGCUUUGUUUGCGUGGCAAGAUCAGAUUAGCCAGGAGGGUGUACACAAAAAUGCGGAGCAUUGGGCUAACACCAGAUGGCAAGACAAGGUCGUUCAUGCUGCAACACAUCGCGUCAGCAGAGUAG